GCCUUCUUGGCUCAGUUGGCUAGAGCGCAGGUCUCAUAUUUCUAAUAUGACGCAGUCGUGACUGUGACAUCCUGAGGUCGCAAGUUCGAGCCUUGCAGAGGGCA